GGGGGUGUAGCUCAGUGGUAGAGCAUCUGUCUUGCACACAGAAGGCCCUGGGUUCAAUCCUCAGCAUCUCCC